AUUGAACGCUGGCGGCAUGCUUUACACAUGCAAGUCGAACGGCAGCGCGGGGCAACCUGGCGGCGAGUGGCGAACGGGUGAGUAAUACAUCGGAACGUACCCAGAAGUGGGGGAUAACGUAGCGAAAGUUACGCUAAUACCGCAUACGUUCUACGGAGGAAAGUGGGGGACCUUCGGGCCUCAUGCUUUUGGAGCGGCCGAUGUCUGAUUAGCUAGUUGGUGAGGUAAAGGCUCACCAAGGCGACGAUCAGUAGCUGGUCUGAGAGGACGACCAGCCACACUGGGACUGAGACACGGCCCAGACUCCUACGGGAGGCAGCAGUGGGGAAUUUUGGACAAUGGGCGCAAGCCUGAUCCAGCAAUGCCGCGUGAGUGAAGAAGGCCUUCGGGUUGUAAAGCUCUUUUGUCAGGGAAGAAACGGCUGAGGAUAAUACCUUCGGCUAAUGACGGUACCUGAAGAAUAAGCACCGGCUAACUACGUG
rnacentral:rRNA from 1 species